rnacentral:lncRNA from 1 species
UCUUUUUAAUUUGAUUUUUUAUUUAUUUAUAUUUUAUUUGUACAAGUAAUUUAUUUUUACUUAUUAAUUUGUUUGUUUUCCUUUUGUUAAUUUAUUUAUUUUCCCUUUAAAAUAUAUCAGAAGUUAUGUGUGCACAACGUUUCAAUUUUGGAUUACCGUGUAUAUAAUAUGUACUGUUAUGUAUGUACUAGGUGAGUUUUAGGUAGUUACAAUUGAUUUCAAAUAUUAUUAGUUAUUUUUUUUUCCUAAUAUAAAAAUGUCACAACAUUAAAAUAUUUGAUUUAACUUAAAGAAACUUUUUAAUUUAAAGAAAUAUUGGUAGUUAGUUUCUUUUAUUUUAAUUUUGAAAUUAAUAAAAUCAAAUAAACUUCUCAUUAGAAUUUUGGUUUAAAUUAAAGAAAAAAAUAUUAUAUUGACA